AUGGUUCCUUAUUUCGUUAUUCGUUUACGAAUCUGAUACCAAAAAACGAAUAACGAGUCAUUUCUCGUACUUUCGAUUUAAUGCUCAGAUCAAAAAUAGGAAAUUAGGAAACGGGCCACAGACCGAUUUUGAUUUUGAUAUUUAAUUUGUUCGAUUUGUGUGAACCGGAAGUUACGGUCUUCUUCGUGUGUUGCACUUGGAAGUUUCCAAGUUUUUUUUAUAUACUGUCUAUGGACGUUUCCCGCAAUUUGGAAAACAGUUAGACGAGGCCUGGAAAACAUCAAUUAUGCAGUGAUUACACAUGUAGAGAUUUCCACAACGCUGCAGCAGAUGGGUGUCCAGCGAUGUUCUGAAAUAAGUGUGAGAAGAUUCUGUGUUCAGCACAACCUUAAGCGAAAAAGACAUGUAUCGGACACAGAACUGGAGAGGGCUGUGGUUGGAUCAAUAUAUGAAGUAAGUUUUUUUUUUUAGGUUUUCACAUUUUAUAUCCUGCCCGUCUUUCAAAUGUUGUAGCGAAUAACUGUAUUUUUCUUAACAGACGGGCCCAUCUUAUGGCCGCAAGUUCAUGACUGGAUAUCUGUCUUUAAUGGGAGUGCAUGCAGGAGAAUGUCGAGUUGGGAAAAUCCUCAGAGAGAUUCAUCAGCCAUACCACGAAUUCCGACGUCACGCUAGUUAUAUGCUAAGAAUGAAGGUGCUCGUAAUCUAAAUCCCAUCCCGUAUCAUGCGGAAUAUAUGGGCCAUAAAAUUCACAUGGACCAAAACGAGAAGCUUGUGAUGUUUGGAGUGACACACGUCGUGGCAGUUGAUGGCUACAGCGGCAAAAUUGUUGCCAAUGCCACCAUGCCAGUGAAAAACAACCUUGUGAUUUAUGAGGAAGUUUACAGAUCUGCAGUGGUUAACCAUGGGAUGUGGGACCAACUCAGGGUCGACCAUGGCAGGGAGUUUUACAUGUGCUUGUACAUGCAAGAGAUGCUGUCAAGACAUAGACACAACCCUAGCAGGCCACCAUACCUUCAAACAACAUCAACAAGGAAUCUUCGAGUGGAAAGGAUUUGGCCCGAGGUGAACAAUCGCGUUAACUACCCAUUGAAACAGGCCCUGGUACACCUGCUGGACCAAGAAGUCCUCAACAUGGAGGACAAUAUGACUAAAUUCUGCAUUUCAAACCUGACAUGUCAAUUAAGCCAAAUUGGACUAGGCAGAGUGGUGCAAUCGUGGAAUGCACACAGGAUCCCAGGACGUGGGAUACCCAAUGAACUUGCAGCAGGUGGCUGUCCAGCUAAAAUCUCUGAAGAGCUGCUGCCCAAUGCCUCUGUUGUGGCAAACAUGUAUGAGCAAGAGUUUGGAUCCUCGCUAACUUUUUGGAACUGA
rnacentral:lncRNA from 1 species